rnacentral:misc_RNA from 1 species
CAGCCGCGUAAUUCCAGCUCCAAUAGCGUAUAUUAAAGUUGUUGCAGUUAAAAAGCUCGUAGUUGAAUUUCGGGAUCAAGGGAUCGGUCAUGCCUUGGUAUGUACUGGUCUUAUUGGUUCUCACCUUCUAAAGAACCAUGAUGUCAUUCAUUUGAUGUUAUGGGGAAUUAGGACUGUUACCUUGAAAAAAUUAGAGUGUUUAAAGCAAGCUUACGCUUGAAUACAUUAGCAUGGAUUAAUGAAAUAGGACAUCAGAUUCUAUUUUGUUGGUUUCUAGGAUCGAUGUAAUGAUUAAUAGGGAUAGUUGGGGGCAUUAGUAUUCAAUUGUCAGAGGUGAAAUUCUUGGAUUUAUUGAAGACUAACUACUGCGAAAGCAUUUGCCAAGGAUGUUUUCAUUAAUCAAGAACGAAAGUUAGGGGAUCGAAGACGAUCAGAUACCGUCGUAGUCUUAACCAUAAACUAUGCCGACUAGGGAUCGGAUGAUGUUAAUUUUUUAAUGACUCAUUCGGCACCUUACG